UCUCAUCAUAUAUUUCUUUCUUAUGUUAUGUGUAGUGACGCGGCUAGAUCUUGACUAUCUCAGCAUCUCUUUUCCCUAUGUCUUCUCUCUUUCUUUACUUAACAGCACUUCUUCUUUGAACAUUCUUCCUUUUGCCAAACCUUUCAAAAACGUUUAAGCCCAUUUUUUGCCAUUUUUUAAAAAUUUUUUUGAGCUUUGGGUUUUCUCCAAUCUACAAGCUAAAGUAGAUUUGUCAACUUUGAUGAUGGAAAAAAAAAUUUUUGAACCCACAAAUUUAAGAAGCAUGAACUAUUACAAGAAAGAAAAGUAGUAAUAGUAGUAGUAGUAGUUGGCAAGUGUUUUGUUCAUGAUUUAACAUUCAACAAAGACAUAUUACUUUCACUAAUAUAUAUGCUUAUAUGUGUAUAUUUUUCUCAUUUUUGGCUUAUUUUCAGUUUGCCCUUUUCAGCAGGUUUUGUUUAGGAACCUUAUAUUCUACCUAGGCUUCUCCUUUUGACCUUGCAUCCAUUUGUUAAUGCCACGUUAGCAUAAGCUUGUAGAAGCCACAUAAAAAAAAAAAAAAAACUAAAAGACCUCAGCCCUUUGCUCUUUCUUCUUUUCUUUGCUUUUUCUCUCUUUCCCUGCAAAUUUCACAUUCCUUCUGAUUACUAAACAGUACUUAGAUUAUCAGUCGUUUUUUGCUGCUGCAGCAUUAUCAAGAUUCAUAUGCAAAUAUAGUACGGCAGCCGUGGUCCCGGUACCGCGAUUGUUUUUUUUCAGAUGCCAUAGCUUUUAUUUGAGCAUGAGAAUCUUGAUGAUGCUGCAUCGGCCAUAAAUGACUUCACAAAAAAAUCCAUAUAAAUCUUUAUAGAUCUUGAUUUACACUGCUUUUGCAGCUAUAGAAGGUGAACUCUUCUUAAUCCAAAGGACUUUUUCGGGUUUCCUUCCUGUUUCCCUUGUCUUCUUUGAUAUUGAUAUAUAUUUUAUCGGAAUGUUCUUGUAGAUCUUUUCAUAUGAUAUUUUUGUUUGGCAUAUGUAUCUGCAUAAGCUGAAUUAUUCCAUAAGCUGAAUUAUUCUACUGCUGUUUCUUGCUUUUUCUUUUUGCAGCACAUGAUGAUCAGGGAUGCAAUUAUCAAACUUACAGUUUGAAGAAAUUAUGCUUAUGCUCCCAUGUUUCAGAUUGGGGAUAAAUUUCAAAGCACAGAUUUCAUAAAUAUCCAGGGAAUACUUAACCUUGUAGCAAACGCAUCCAAAGGAGGACCUUGAAAAGAGAAACAGUUUUAGAAGCCCAUGCAUUUGUUAUAAUCUUCCAUGGAGUUUUUGCUUGGAAGCUGCUGUGGAAACUUGGUUGAGGAACUACUGAUGUGAUAUAUGGUUUCAAAGGCAAGUAGUUUUCUUGCUUAUCAGCCAUGGAUUUUUAAGGAAGAAAUAUCUUAAGCCGUAUCAUGUGGGGCAUUUAAUGACAAAAGCUGUUUUGUCAUUUUGACAAGUGAAAAGAAACUGUGAUGAAUCAUUCCUUCUUCAACAGGUCCACUCAGUCUGGGGAAAAACAACUUAAACGUGCACGAUGUGAUCAUAGCAAAUCAAUCUUACUCUGCAGAUGUUCCAUGCAUUCAUAAAUAAUUCAUUUCUGAUUUGUGUAUCUGACUCUUUCAUUUCUUGAUCAAAGCUUUAAUGGCGUAAGGUCAUUAGAUAUCUCAAGUAUAUAUCUAAGUUCAAAAUCUUAUGCCACAGCUUUUGCAUGACAAUCAAAUAUUUGCUUGUAAGUAAUUACAGAAAAUGCAUUUACUGCUAACAGUAUUAAUCUGACUAGUUCAAGUUCACAA